CGUUCAAAUUUGCUUGAUUCACUUCUAAAAGAGGUGUGUGUCUGAGAAACAUUCCUAUUUGGUUUGUUCAUUUUUCUGAGGGACAGAAGAGUGUCCUAUCAUAGUACUGAUUGUCUACUUUUGAAGUCUAUCUUCUUCCAGUUGUAAAUUUUUCUACUAGAUGUCACUAACAUCAAAAUUAUUUCACACUUAAAUGUUAGUAGACAAAGGUGUUUUGUCUUGUCUUUGAUUUCAGAGUCUCAAAGUUUUGAUUUACAAGUGUCUAAAACGACCAAGCUUAUAUUUGCUUGAUUCACUUCUAAAAGAGAACUAUGCAAAUCUAA